rnacentral:rRNA from 1 species
AUUGAACGCUGGCGGCAUGCCUUACACAUGCAAGUCGAACGGUAACAGGUCUUCGGAUGCUGACGAGUGGCGAACGGGUGAGUAAUACAUCGGAACGUGCCCGAGAGUGGGGGAUAACGAGGCGAAAGCUUUGCUAAUACCGCAUACGAUCUCAGGAUGAAAGCAGGGGACCGCAAGGCCUUGCGCUCACGGAGCGGCCGAUGGCAGAUUAGGUAGUUGGUGGGAUAAAAGCUUACCAAGCCGACGAUCUGUAGCUGGUCUGAGAGGACGACCAGCCACACUGGGACUGAGACACGGCCCAGACUCCUACGGGAGGCAGCAGUGGGGAAUUUUGGACAAUGGGCGCAAGCCUGAUCCAGCCACGCCGCGUGCAGGAUGAAGGCCUUCGGGUUGUAAACUGCUUUUGUACGGAACGAAAAGACUCUAGUUAAUACCUGGGGUCCAUGACGGUACCGUAAGAAUAAGCACCGGCUAACUACGUGCCAGCCGCCGCGGUAACAC